GCGGAGCUAACGUAAACCAUGUGAUCACCCUCGCGCCUGACAGAGUCUCUGUAAUGAAUGCUCGGGAAGUUAUGAAGAGAAAGGAUACGAUCCCAGUGAUUAAUGCCAAAGCCCUGUUGCCUGUGGAGAGGGUGAUGUUUGACUUUCUUGUACAGCUGCAGUUUGUGUGGUGAAGGUGCUCCCACAAUGUGGUUGGAUCCCAGUGAUUAAUGCCAAAGCCCCAUUGCCUGGGGAGAGGGUGAUGUUUGACUUCCUUGUACAGCUGCAGUUUGUGUGGUGAAGGUGCUCCCACAAUGUGGUUGGGUGGACACUCAGAUGGUAACCUUAGUCAUUGUAACACCAAACUCUGACAGAAUUGCUCAGUUCAUCAGGACCUGGAUAUUUGCAUUUAGUUCAGAAGCAGCCUCAGGGCAUUGAGCACAGACUGAAUGACUCAGUGACGCUUGGAUCAGCUCAGAUCAAAUUCUCAAGCAAACAGAUGGCUGGGGAUAUUCAGUAACAACGGUGAGGAGAGAGAGGAACAAUUCACAUUUCAAGUGACCCUUCCUCAAAACGGUCUGUUCUGAAGGAGCUUUCCCGCAGAAAUCACUGGAUUGAAAGGUGAACUCUGUCUCUGUCUCUUUCUCCCUCUC